rnacentral:rRNA from 1 species
GAUGAACGCUGGCGGCGUGCCUAAUACAUGCAAGUCGAGCGAACGGACGAGAAGCUUGCUUCUCUGAUGUUAGCGGCGGACGGGUGAGUAACACGUGGAUAACCUACCUAUAAGACUGGGAUAACUUCGGGAAACCGGAGAUAAUACCGGAUAAUAUUUUGAACCGCAGGGUUCAAAAGUGAAAGACGGUCUUGCUGUCACUUAUAGAUGGAUCCGCGUUGCAUUAGCUAGUUGGUAAGGUAACGGCUUACCAAGGCAACGAUGCAUAGCCGAUCUGAGAGGGUGAUCGGCCACACUGGAACUGAGACACGGUCCAGACUCCUACGGGAGGCAGCAGUAGGGAAUCUUCCACAAUGGGCGAAAGCCUGACGGAGCAACGCCGCGUGAGUGAUGAAGGUCUUCGGAUCGUAAAACUCUUUUAUUAGGGAAGAACAUAUGUGUAAGUAUCUGUGCACAUCUUGACGGUACCUAAUCAGAAAGCCCCGGCUAACUACGUG